UUUGGAGGUUCUGUGCACUCAAGUAGUCAUGUACAAACCAAGGCAAAACUGCAUGUGAGAAGCCCAGGGAAUUGGGAGAGAGGGGGUGGCAGAAGCAUCCCUUUCCUCAACAGCCCCCUUCCCCAGAGUCUCCCACCUGGAGUCCCGCAAGGCCAGAUGUGAACCUUGAGGAGCUCCUGUGCUUGGAAUUGCUAGGAAACCACCAGGGUUUCGGGAUGACCCUCAGAGUCGUCAGGGAGAUGGGGGAAACAGUACAUGUGUGUGUGUGGGGGGGGGGGGUGCUCCUGGACGGGAUGAUCUUUGAGGGCCAAGAAGACUCAGAGGCCAGGAAGCCUGGAACUGGGAAGGGGGCCUGUCCCCACUUGAUGGGAAGUUACUUGGAGCAGAGGGUCUCAGGUGGAGCUGCGGAGUAUCACAGAGCCCUCUUGGGAAGCACGAGAAAUAGUUAUGUAUUCAUUUCUAUCACACAGUCUAGGAAACAGUCAUGCCCAAAGGAAACAUGGCAAUAUGCCCCACUGCCAGCCCAUGAUGGAAAGGGCAUGGCUCCGUUGCUGUAAGAAGAGUCUAGGGUGGUCCCAGCUUCAAGCUGGCCCUAGGCACUCAGAUGUCAUCAGAGCCUCUCUCCAUACUUGGUGGCCUUACCCCCUCCCCGCCCCCCCAGCAGUGAGCUUCCUUUAUGCAACCAGCAGCUCCAACACCCUAAAGGGAAGACCCAGCCUCCUCCAGAGGCAGCACCAAAGUCUGGGAUCACAUUCCCAUCCCUGAACCAGUCACAAUGGUCAGGAAUAUUCUGACUGGCCUGACCAUGGGUCACUGUGCACUUCCAAGGGCUCCCAAUAUCAGGCCCACUGGGGAAUCUCAGGCCCUCAAAACAGGCCUUGCUCCCUAGACCCGCAUAGCAGGCUGUUUCUGAGCUUCUCUGUUAAAAUCAAAUACAUACUUGAUUUUUUAAAUUUUGCUUUCUGCUAGUCUUUUCUAGUACAAAUGAUAGCAAGCACAAAGUUGUCCUCUUGUGGUGGUAGUGAUUUUUAACCAAAGGGAAAAAAUAUUUUCAUCAAAAACAUUCUUUGCAAUAGGACCAUUUCCCCCUGCAAACUGAGAAAAGACCACCAUUGUGUGGUUUUCUAGUGCCUUAGCAUACUCAGGGACACCGAUGUUCCACAGGAACAUGUUUUGAGAAUCUUUUUUUUUUUUUUCCUCUAAAUAAUAGGGACGCCUGGGUGGCUCAGUGGUUGAGUGUCUGCCUUCGGUUCAGGUCAUGAUCCGAGGGUCCUGGAAUCGAGUCCUGCAUCAGGCUCCCCGCAGGGAGCCUGCUUCUCCCUCUGCCUGUGUCUCUGCCGCUCUCUCUCUCUGUCUCUGCCGCUCUCUCUCUCUCUGUCUCUCAUGAAUAACUAAUAUCUUGAAAGAAAAGAAAAAAGGAAAAGGAAAGAAAGAGAAAGAAGAAAAGAAGGAAGAAGAAA
rnacentral:lncRNA from 1 species